CAGCCGCCACGGUAAUACGAAGGGGGCUAGCGUUGCUCGGAAUGACUGGGCGUAAAGGGCGCGUAGGCGGCGAUCAAAGUCAGGCGUGAAAUUCCUGGGCUCAACCUGGGGGCUGCGCUUGAUACUUGGUUGCUUGAGUGGGGAAGAGGGUCGUGGAAUUCCCAGUGUAGAGGUGAAAUUCGUAGAUAUUGGGAAGAACACCGGUGGCGAAGGCGGCGACCUGGUCCUUGACUGACGCUGAGGCGCGAAAGCGUGGGGAGCAAACAGGAUUAGAUACCCCUGUAGUCCCUGUCUCUUAUAU
rnacentral:rRNA from 1 species